ACGCUGGCGGCGUGCCUAAUACAUGCAAGUCGAACGAACUCUGGUAUUGAUUGGUGCUUGCAUCAUGAUUUACAUUUGAGUGAGUGGCGAACUGGUGAGUAACACGUGGGAAACCUGCCCAGAAGCGGGGGAUAACACCUGGAAACAGAUGCUAAUACCGCAUAACAACUUGGACCGCAUGGUCCGAGCUUGAAAGAUGGCUUCGGCUAUCACUUUUGGAUGGUCCCGCGGCGUAUUAGCUAGAUGGUGGGGUAACGGCUCACCAUGGCAAUGAUACGUAGCCGACCUGAGAGGGUAAUCGGCCACAUUGGGACUGAGACACGGCCCAAACUCCUACGGGAGGCAGCAGUAGGGAAUCUUCCACAAUGGACGAAAGUCUGAUGGAGCAACGCCGCGUGAGUGAAGAAGGGUUUCGGCUCGUAAAACUCUGUUGUUAAAGAAGAACAUAUCUGAGAGUAACUGUUCAGGUAUUGACGGUAUUUAACCAGAAAGCCACGGCUAACUACGUGCCAGCAGCCGCGGUAAUACGUAGGUGGCAAGCGUUGUCCGGAUUUAUUGGGCGUAAAGCGAGCGCAGGCGGUUUUUUAAGUCUGAUGUGAAAGCCUUCGGCUCAACCGAAGAAGUGCAUCGGAAACUGGGAAACUUGAGUGCAGAAGAGGACAGUGGAACUCCAUGUGUAGCGGUGAAAUGCGUAGAUAUAUGGAAGAACACCAGUGGCGAAGGCGGCUGUCUGGUCUGUAACUGACGCUGAGGCUCGAAAGUAUGGGUAGCAAACAGGAUUAGAUACCCUGGUAGUCCAUACCGUAAACGAUGAAUGCUAAGUGUUGGAGGGUUUCCGCCCUUCAGUGCUGCAGCUAACGCAUUAAGCAUUCCGCCUGGGGAGUACGGCCGCAAGGCUGAAACUCAAAGGAAUUGACGGGGGCCCGCACAAGCGGUGGAGCAUGUGGUUUAAUUCGAAGCUACGCGAAGAACCUUACCAGGUCUUGACAUACUAUGCAAAUCUAAGAGAUUAGACGUUCCCUUCGGGGACAUGGAUACAGGUGGUGCAUGGUUGUCGUCAGCUCGUGUCGUGAGAUGUUGGGUUAAGUCCCGCAACGAGCGCAACCCUUAUUAUCAGUUGCCAGCAUUAAGUUGGGCACUCUGGUGAGACUGCCGGUGACAAACCGGAGGAAGGUGGGGAUGACGUCAAAUCAUCAUGCCCCUUAUGACCUGGGCUACACACGUGCUACAAUGGAUGGUACAACGAGUUGCGAACUCGCGAGAGUAAGCUAAUCUCUUAAAGCCAUUCUCAGUUCGGAUUGUAGGCUGCAACUCGCCUACAUGAAGUCGGAAUCGCUAGUAAUCGCGGAUCAGCAUGCCGCGGUGAAUACGUUCCCGGGCCUUGUACACACCGCCCGUCACACCAUGAGAGUUUGUAACACCCAAAGUCGGUGGGGUAACCUUUUAGGAACCAGCCGCCUAAGGUGGGACAGAUGAUAGGG
rnacentral:rRNA from 2 species